CCGUGAGCCAACAUGCCGGGGGAGGGGAGUGCGGGUGAUGCAGCAUGGGAAUGACAGAGCCCCCUUCUCCCUCCCAGGGUAAGAAAUGGAGCCCAUCAGGUCUGAAACCAGAAGUACAAGUUCCCCCCGUUGCAUUUUUGUGAUCCAGAGUCCUGCUGAAAAGACCAUGAGGAAGUCUGGCAAAAACUAAUGACCCGAUCCAUGCAUGGAGCCCCUGUUGACUUGAACUGGCAGCAGCUGAGUGUGGAGUUACUAAGAACAGAAAAUGUAGUUGGGAGGGAUGUUGUCAUUGUAUGCAUCCAUAAAGCACCAUACACAUGCCAUGUGACUAAACAAUAACUCCAGCAACUGAAAUGGUUAGGGCCCUAUGUAUGUACUUACAUGACUUCCAUCACUGUUGCAUCAAAGCACCUAACUUCCUAAACCCCAAAAUAUAGAAGUUUGGUCUGGGUAGUCUAUGUAGUGCUUGCUGCCCUGACCCCUCAAUCUUGGGGACUGCUUUUGUCCACCGCUCUGAAGCAAGUAGCUGAGAGGAUAUUCAAUAGCCAGAUUCCACAGCUGUGGCAUUGCAGGCCUGGGUCCUGGGGUGGUAGAGACUGUGCAGUUGAUCUCUGGAGAGGAAGGAGUAAAUGCUGGAUGCAUGGCACCCUGUGCCAGCUGGCUUGGGAGGAGAAACAUUGGCUUUGAUUGUGCAAGCAGGUGCCUGCUUCCCCUCCUCAUCCGAUGGAGAGAGCUAGGGAACAGCUGUAAGCAGAGCAAAGUUAAAAAAAUAGAGGGAAAUAGGGAUUAAAAAAUAACUGGCUUGUCUGGCACUGGGAACUUGACAUGUUUUUCAUCUAAAUUAAAGAGAAAGUUGUGCUGUUGUUUUUCUGUAGUGAAACAAUUGGCUAAUACAAGAGCUGCACAUUUUCGAGAAGUGAGAACAAGCCAUAUGUCUUCCAUAAAAACAUACUGAUACAGUUGAGCCUGCAAUUUCAGCUCUGUGGUAAAUCAUUUUUCUCACAUGCCAUGGUUAAAUCAAGCACUAUUUUUAUUUGCCAAAAUGUAUUCACAGCAUUGUAUUAUCAUUCAUCUCUGUCAGUUUUGCAUUUGUUAUCAUUGACACAUGGUAAAGUAGUUUUAAUUAUCUCUGAACGCAAGAACUGAGCAUUUUUUCUAUUCAAUACUGUCUAUUUUACUUCCAGUAUCUAAGCUACCAUAAUACAAAUGUUA